rnacentral:rRNA from 1 species
UACGAAGGGGGCUAGCGUUGCUCGGAAUCACUGGGCGUAAAGGGUGCGUAGGCGGGUCUUUAAGUCAGGGGUGAAAUCCUGGAGCUCAACUCCAGAACUGCCCUUGAUACUGAAGGUCUUGAGUUCGGGAGAGGUGAGUGGAACUGCGAGUGUAGAGGUGAAAUUCGUAGAUAUUCGCAAGAACACCAGUGGCGAAGGCGGCUCACUGGCCCGAUACUGACGCUGAGGCACGAAAGCGUGGGGAGCAAACAGG